CGUGAGGAACCUGCCUCGGAGUGGGGAAUAACACACCGAAAGGUGUGCUAAUACCGCAUAAUGCAGUUGGGUCGCAUGACUCUGACUGCCAAAGAUUUAUCGCUCUGAGAUGGCCUCGCGUCUGAUUAGCUAGUUGGCGGGGUAACGGCCCACCAAGGCGACGAUCAGUAGCCGGACUGAGAGGUUGACCGGCCACAUUGGGACUGAGACACGGCCCAG
rnacentral:rRNA from 1 species